GCUAUUCCCUUUAUUGCUUUAAUGAAUCCAUUUCCUUUUUGGUAAAAAACGUUUUAACCUUUGUUUGUAAGGAAAAAAAAAACUUUAUUAUUCUCUCAACUCACACACCCCAGCUGAAGGCCAAACUUCAACCACUCUAAAGUCCGACUAUGGCGAACGGAAUCGAGCCCUCCGAUGACGUGAAUGCAACUCCAAUCGUGGAGGAGAGCGUCAUGGGGCAUGAUGUAUGCUACACACUGGCUAGGAGUCGUGCUUGAUGUGCCGACGUGCGUGGCGGAGAGGUGCUGAUGGUUGUGAAUGGAGAACGUGGGCACAUGGUGAAGGGAGGCAGUUUCCUUCUUUGCUGGAAAGAGAGAAAAAAAAUGUGUGGGCUAAGGGUUUUUUAAAAUUUGGGCUUUUGUUUAUUUGGACUUAUUUAAUAUUUUGUUUCUCUUUUUUUUUUGGUUUUUGUAUGUUAUGGGCCCGGGCUAAAAAUUGGGUCUACAACUGCCCCUCUUUGCUCGUUGUUAUGUAACAAGAACGGAGCAAAGACCCUAAAAGGACCAAUUUUGCCCGGUCUUGCUGAAUCUUUGACUUUUUUGGUGCUCCUCUUCUUCAAGUAGUCUUACAACAACUUUAAGAAGAUAA